AGAGUUUGAUCCUGCUCAGGACGAACGCUGGCGGCGUGCUUAACACAUGCAAGUCGAACGAGGCCCGAACUGGUGGCAACGACCAGGGGAGGCCUAGUGGCGAACGGGUGAGUAACACGUGAGGAGCCUGCCCCGAAGACUGGGAUAACUCUCCGAAAGGAGUGCUAAUACCAGAUGUCCUCUUACGGUCGCAUGGCUGUUUGAGGAAAGGUCCGCUGCUUCGGGAGGGCCUCGCGGCCUAUCAGCUUGUUGGUGGGGUAACGGGCCCACCAAGGCGACGACGGGUAGCUGGUCUGAGAGGACGAUCAGCCACACUGGGACUGAGACACGGCCCAGACUCCUACGGGAGGCAGCAGUGGGGAAUCUUGCGCAAUGGGCGAAAGCCUGACGCAGCAACGCCGCGUGCGGGAUGACGGCCUUCGGGUUGUAAACCGCUUUCAGUGGGGACGAAAACAGACGGUACCCACAGAAGAAGCUCCGGCCAACUACGUG
rnacentral:rRNA from 1 species